rnacentral:rRNA from 1 species
GUGCCAGCAGCCGCGGUAAUACGUAGGUGGCGAGCGUUGUCCGGAAUUAUUGGGCGUAAAGGGCGCGUAGGCGGCUCUUUAAGUCAGAUGUGAAAACCCAGGGCUUAACUCUGGGAGUGCAUUUGAAACUGAAGAGCUCGAGUGCAGGAGAGGUAAGUGGAAUUCCUAGUGUAGCGGUGAAAUGCGUAGAUAUUAGGAGGAACACCAGUGGCGAAGGCGACUUACUGGACUGUAACUGACGCUGAGGCGCGAAAGCGUGGGGAGCAAACAGGAUUAGAAACCCCCGUAGUCC